UUUAAUUCGAUGCAACGCGAAGAACCUUACCUGGUCUUGACAUCCACGGAAGUUUUCAGAGAUGAGAAUGUGCCUUCGGGAACCGUGAGACAGGUGCUGCAUGGCUGUCGUCAGCUCGUGUUGUGAAAUGUUGGGUUAAGUCCCGCAACGAGCGCAACCCUUAUCCUUUGUUGCCAGCGGUCCGGCCGGGAACUCAAAGGAGACUGCCAGUGAUAAACUGGAGGAAGGUGGGGAUGACGUCAAGUCAUCAUGGCCCUUACGACCAGGGCUACACACGUGCUACAAUGGCGCAUACAAAGAGAAGCGACCUCGCGAGAGCAAGCGGACCUCAUAAAGUGCGACGUAGUCCGGAUUGGAGUCUGCAACUCGACUCCAUGAAGUCGGAAUCGCUAGUAAUCGUGGAUCAGAAUGCCA
rnacentral:rRNA from 1 species